GCACGGAAAUAGUGUCCCCUGUUUGUAUAAUUCGUAUUUUAGCAAAUUUAGGACGACAUCCGGAAACUUUUGGCUAACUAUACUAUGACCAAUAAGCAUAUGACAUAUUCAAUUUACAUCACAAAUAGUACGGUUAGUGCAGAUAGUAUGAGUAUUCGAACACAGCUUUGGGAUAUGAUUUUCCAGAAAAAUAAGGAAUGACUUCGUGAAAUGGACCAAAGUGGGCACCUAAUCACGUUUCACUUCAUUGUAUUGACUUAGCAGGAGAAAAGUCCAGCCUGACUCAUUUUUGGGGGUUGAAGGAAAUCCCAACCUGACAUCGUGCCGAUGUAAAGAACUUGUUGUGAACCUUCCAUCCACCAGGAUAAUCAUUAUAUCCUAGGAUAUUAUUCAGGAGUGUGCAACAUUGCAAUGUUAGAUAGAAAUAGAUUCACACAUGUUGUUGUUUAUCAUGCAGAUUUGUCAGGACAUCGUAAUUUAUGAAGCUCAUUCUAAAAUGCAGAUGUGAUAUCUGUGCCAGGGGAUUGCGCUGUGUGCAAGUCUUCAAUUUAGACUACAAUUAGUUGAAUUAGGUGUUAGCGAAGGGCUGGAACCAAACCUGUAAAAUCCUGUCCUGUGUAUAAAAAAAACCUGUGGCUGUCAUGACUAAAUUUGCCCUCAUGUACUGAACAAGUUUAUGAAUGUUGGAGGUUAAUCUUGAGAUGUCCCUCACUUGGGAAUGACUUAUUUUGUACAAUAUACUGUGUUUUAAGGACUCAUGCACAGAUACAGAACCCCCCCCCCCCUAAAUGUUACCAUAUAUUCCAAAUUAAAAGUGUUGAUGUCUCCA